ensembl:lncRNA
AUUUCAUCCUAUAUGUAGUUUCGUAACUUCUUCAUACUAAAACCUAGCUCUUUGUGUGAAAAAUAAAUAAUCUGUGAUGGAAAUACACGUUCUUCCCCUCUUGAUAAGAAAAACUGAUUUAUUCUCAAUAAUAUAUCUAAGUCCCAAUUCAAAGCAUGCUUGUGCUUGUGGAAGAAGGGGAAUGAGUGUGGAAAAAAGCCCUAUGUGAGCAUGCAGCUGAGGUCUGAUCGCUCUCCUGAUGAAACCAGUGCUGGAAUACAUUGCAGCUCAGUUUUGGUCAACAGCCCCAAAUGCAGAGGAAAGUCUAAUCUAAUCUCAUCUAAAAUCUAAUCAGGUAUCCUGAGUACUCCGUGUGACUGUUUCUGAAUAACAUGGAAAACAGCAUAGGGAAAAACAUGAUACUGAUUUAGUAACUGUCUCCAUUGACCUCAUUCAUGAAUUAACCAACUUUUAGCACUUUUUAGUAUGAAAGAAAAGGACUUGCAUGAAGGCAAAUAUCGGUGUUUCACAGUAGGUUCGUGAAACUUGGAAAGUGGCAGAGGAGUUUAGAUCUAAUGUAUAAUGUAGAGACAAUCUCUAUGUAGCUAUAGCCAACCAGAUUGGUCAUGUAACAAUGGCAAAUUAUUUGGAAAUACCUUAUCGGUAUUGCCUAAUUCUUUGACAGCAAGAAUACUUACAAGUACAGAGAACUGGGUUUUAUAUAUAUAUAUAUUUAAAUGUCUUUUGCUUAAUUCUUAUAGCUUCCCAGGUCUUUUAAAGCUGUGUAUCUGUAUUUUUGUUUAGGUCGCUGGGGGAGAUAGGGGUGACUGCUGAAACCAUCAGUUUUGCUAUAAAUGGUGAUCACCAGAAGGUUACAGGCGUGACACGAUGCAGGUUAUCUUUAUCAUUAUGAAAGUAUUUGGAAAUAUCCCCCUGUGGUGGGAUUUUCUCUUUUAAAUCUGCUGAUAUUGUGCUGGUUUUCAGAAGAGUGUCAGAUUGUUCAUUUUUUUUUUUUUUUGUGGGAAAAUGAUGGGAUGAUGUUCAAGGGGACAGAGCCACUGGCUUUGCUAUAGGAAUUCCCUGUCUAAGGGUCGUACUGGGUAAUCUCUGCAGAGUGGAUGCUGCAUCAGUCUUUACAUUUUGAAUGUGAAGGAUCUUAAUUCUAAAUGAAGGAUUAUUUUUUUGACACUAGACAGAUGUGUAUAUAUAUAUACAUCUAUACGUAUAUAGAUAUAUAUAUGCAAUACUAAGAAGUCGUGUGCCUUAAAAAGAAUAGAUAAUUAUAGAGGGUAUAGCACAAUAUAACAUAUUCAAAGCUCAGUCAUGCGUCGUAUACUGAGCAAGUGAUGUAUUGAAUGUCCACUUACUUUUUCUAACGUCUUUAUUUUUCUACUGGAAUUGCCUGUAUCUCUCAAGAGUGCCCUAUAUAUACUAUGAAUUCAGAAGAAAGGUUUCAGGUUAGCGAAGGGUCGGAUCUCUCUGAGUCAGGGAAUACAAAUAGAUACCAUGACAAACAGGAACAAAGUUCCUUUGCACGGCACGUGUCGUGGAAGCUGGGCAUGUUGUGUAGCACUGUAUCAGGAAGGGAGGUUCUCUAUAGAGAUGCAGAUUGUGCAGACUGUGGUUUCAAACACGGGUUCUUGAGCUGAGGAGAGUCACUGCUGGACCUGAGAUGUGGUGUGUGUGAUGGCACUGCCAUCCCUUCUGCUGGUGGUGACACCUGGCACCAUUGCUGGCAGAGACUCCUGAAACAGCAAUCCUAAAAAAAUGAAAUGGCUUGUGGUUUUCGUGACAGUUAUCUGAGUAAUCCUUGAACAGAGGUCUGUUAUUGAACUUUGGAUGCUUUUGCUUUGGAAAUCGAGGCUAAUUACAGUUUUGUUGCUGUCAUUUUGUGAUUGUUUGGUUUUAAUGAGGGUAUCACUGGAGAAGUGAAAACGUUGCAAUGUGAAAGUUCUCACCAAAGAAUACUGUUUAGCAGGACGUUCAAAGCUCCCUUUUCUACUCUUUGCUUUGGAGAAUGAAGGAGCCAUGCUCAAAAGAGCAUAGGAGCUGCCACUUGAGCUCAGAGUUGCAAUGUGUUCGUGCUUCUGUGUCUUCUCAUUCCCGAGAGCACCCGUUACAUUAGGCUCAGAGGAAGAUGUAAGGAGCUCCAGUUAGUGGGAUUACAGGGCCGGAUGUGGCCAGCUAACCUGCUGCACCGUUAGCUCUCACCCCAAGCAAUCAGAGACCCGAGGUCCCUCACAGCUGCAUGGCAUGGAGGUUAGAUCAGUGACGAGUACUUAGAAAAAACAAGUUGUAGCAUUUCUGUGAAACACGAACAUUCAAAAAGCUGGGCACUGGUAAUGAACAUUGGCCGUUGGUCUCUGGGUUCUUUAGAAAACUCAUCCAGAGCUUCACUGAUGCAGUUAAACUGCCGUGUAAGGGCACACCUGGUCGGUCCUCAUGAAAGCACUGCUGGAAAAGAUAUGUAACUAACGCAUUCUUCUUCAUCAAAGAGCGUCAUUUCUUGUGGCAUCACUUCUGUUGUGUUUUCUUGCAGUGACCCAAAAACCUGGCUGCUUUGGAAAGUGGAUAGUAUUGGCAAUCAAAGAAAUAUGGCAAGUAAAGAUAUUUUUCAGAUCCAGUCUAUAUUAGCGUUUUAUGCCCACAAAGGGCAAGUCAUUGCUAUCGGGUCCUUGUUCUGCCACCUUCACUGAUUAAGGCAAAGAGUCAAUGAUGGUUUAGUGUCUUCAUUUAUCCCCUUUAGUUUUAAGCCAACAAAGUGAGGAAGGGCAUUGGCACUGCUGGGUUAAGCUGUCACGAGUAGGAACUGUGCCAAGGCUAGCAAUGCAAACAGCACCACAAAGUCGAGCACCUCGCUGCGUAGGGGACAGUCAGUGGCAGCACACCAUUCCUGUAGAGACCUCUCUUUUAGAGCAGGUGAACAAAUAUCUCACAGGACCCCUUUUCCCCCACAUUGAGCCUGAAUUCUCAGGCAGCCUCCAGAUUUGUUGGCAUUCUCCACAUUGCUUUUCCCUGCCUGCAUGCAGAGAUAAUCAUUUGGGUGACAAUGAGUUGUGACGCCUCGGUUUGCACGUUGACCGUGCGAGAGAAACGGAGACCAAUUGAAAAUAUGGUUAUCUUUGUUGGGUUUUUCUGUAG